rnacentral:lncRNA from 1 species
CUUUGACCUCAGUACUGCUAAAGCCCUUUCAGCUUAAAAUCUUCCUAAUUCUUUGAUUGGCCUUCUGUCCCUUGCUCCCCCUGCUAUGAGAGGCUUUAGCUGGAGGGCAUGUGGAGCAACAGGCCAUACAAUGGAGAAUACCUGUACUAGCUUCAUUAUUGGGCUCCUCUUCUGUGCCAAAGACUGCUUUGUAAAUAGCAUUUUAAAAUAUCUAUACAAUCAUACUUUAAGGUCAGUUUUAUUUUCUCCAUUUUACAGAUGAGAAAACUGAGGCAAAGAGAAGUUGUGACUUUCCCAAGGUCAGAGUGCUUGACAUAUAGUAGGAACUCAAGUAUCUCAGCUUCUUUUCUUCCUUUA